rnacentral:rRNA from 1 species
UACGUAGGGGGCAAGCGUUAUCCAGAUUUACUGGGCGUAAAGCGCGUGUAGGCGGCUGGUUAGGCGUGAUGUGAAAUCUUCCGGCUCAACCGGAAAACUGCAUUGCGAACCGGCCUGGCUAGAGUGCAGGAGAGGGAAGCGGAAUUCCAGGUAUAGCGGCGAAAUGCGUAGAUAUCUGGAGGAACACCAGUGGCGAAGGCGGCUUCCUGGCCUGCAACUGACGCUGAGACGCGAAAGCGUGGGGAGCGAACAGG